AGUAGGGUUUAGUCACAAAACGUCCUCUGAGCCCUCUAAAGUAAGAGAGGUUUAUCUGAAUGGCAGUCCAUUUGUAGAUGAAGACAGCAAUCAGCCGAUGCCUCUGGGACUCUGUUUUGAAAAUGCAGAUCUAAUGCAGGACCUGCCACCUGCUGUGCCUUGUUGUGCUUCGAUGAGCAGAAGAGUUCAGAAACCUGCAUUUUAGAGCAAAGGAAGAGGAGGAAGAUGAUGAUGACUAUGCUGACAGCUUGGUUAAUGAAGGAAAUAUUUAAAUAAGGAUUCUGCAGAGCCAAGCUUGAAUGUGUGUGUCCGGGGGAAACCAGAAGUAUAAAUAUUAUACUAUAAUAAUAUUAUAGUACAUUUCAUUUCUUGUAGAGGCCCAAAGGGCACAUGUAAUUUAUGUUGACAACACGCUUUGUGACCAAAAUAAAUAUUGAUUGUUCUGUA